CCAACGGCUCUUUUCAGAGCCAACAUUUUUUCGAAAGAAGGGCAUU
rfam:Erinaceus europaeus unplaced genomic scaffold scaffold00740, whole genome shotgun sequence